GUUGAAGGGGCUGUUGGCCCGACAGAAGCCAAGGAAAGGCGUGUCGGGUUACCGGCUAACCCCGGGGGUAACCGCGAACCCCACCUAAGCCCAUAAGCGUACACGUAUUUGCGCACCCCUUCGUAUAACUCAUUGGGAAGGUCACAAAUUUCGCUCGAAGGUUGCGGUGCGAUCCGAACCACCUAUGAUCCUAUGGGGCACCAUCAGGCCACCGUUAGCAAAAAGUAAAAACUUGUCAAUUUGGGAUAAAAUAGAAUCAUCUUUUUAGGUGGUCAAGAAAAUUCAAAAAUUAAGAGGAACUUGUAUUCGUCGGCAUUUUGUACUUUUGAACAAGCUGCGGAGCUGAUUCAUGGAACUAUACCCUUCCGUCCCGAUUGGAGACAACUCGAAAUCCAUCCGAAGAAAAUGGCUUAUGUAUAAUUCGCAUUUGCAAUUGAUAGAGUAUCAAUACUUAUAUCAAUAAAAGAAAAUUAUAACGUGAUACAAACACUGCUUUAUAUGAUACAAUCGUUUUUUCCAAUUCUUUUGAAUCAUGUGAAAAAGCUCGGGUAAUACCGCUUGUCAGCGAAACCAAAGUAAAGAGAAGAAAAAACUAUAUAAAACCUUCAUGUCGCAGUUCAUCGAUGCUCGGAUUACAAUCAAACACUUUGCUGCCGGUAUAUUUUGCAACAGUAAUUCCAGCAAUCUGUGAUAAAUGAGUUUUGCGAUACAGAUAGAUUAAGCGAUGAUACAGUUAUAAUAGCUUUUAUAUCAACGUGGUAUAUAAAAUGAUUUUCAAAAAAUCUAGAAUAAUAUCUUUGAAAUAUUGCAAUACAAAAAGCAUAAAUCAAUGCAAAAGAAUUAUUGUUAUCGACAUUUAUAUAUAUCUUAUAUUAUUAUAUUGAUUCACAAUAUAAUAUUAUUCAUAAU